GUGGGGAAUCUUGCACAAUGGGCGAAAGCCUGAUGCAGCGACGCCGCGUGGGGGAUGAAGCUUUUCGGAGUGUAAACCCCUUUCGACUGGGACGAAUGCCUCGCAAGAGGAGUGACGGUACCAGUAUAAGAAGCCCCGGCUAACUACGUGCCAGCAGCCGCGGUAAGACGUAGGGGGCCAGCGUUGUUCGGAAUUACUGGGUGUAAAGGGUUCGUAGGCGGUGUGGCAAGUCGGGAGUGAAAUCUCUGGGCUCAACCCAGAGACUGCUUCCGAAACUGCUGUGCUUGAGUGUGAGAGAGGCUCGUGGAAUUGCAGGUGUAGCGGUGAAAUGCGUAGAUAUCUGCAGGAACACCCGUGGCGAAAGCGGCGAGCUGGAUCACUACUGACGCUGAGGAACGAAAGCUAGGGGAGCAAAC
rnacentral:rRNA from 1 species